AGAGUUUGAUCAUGGCUCAGAGUGAACGCUGGCGGCGUGCUUAACACAUGCAAGUCGAACGGAACCUUCGGGUUUAUUGGCGCACGGGUGAGUAAUGUAUAGCUAACAUGCCCUUUAUAGGGGGAUAACACUUGGAAACGACUGCUAAUACCCCAUACUCCUUCUCAUUAUAAUAUGACUCCGGAAAGUUUUUUCGCUGAAAGAUUGGGCUAUAUGGUAUCACCUUGUUGGUGAGGUAACGGCUCACCAAAGCUAUGACGCCUAACUGGUCUGAGAGGAUGAUCAGUCACACUGGAACUGAGACACGGUCCAAACUCCUACGGGAGGCAGAAUUGGGGAAUAUUACACAAUGGAGGAAACUCUGAUGUAGCAACGCCUCGUGUAGGAUGACACAUUUCGGAGCAUAAACUCCUUUUAUAUGGGAAGAUAAUGACGGUACCAUAUGAAUAACCACCGGCUAACUCCGUGCCACCAGCCGCUGUAAUACGGAGGGUGCAAGCGUUACUCGGAAUCACUGGGCGUACAGCGCAUGUAGGCGGUCUUGUAACUUGGGUGUGAAAGCCUAUGGCUCAACCAUACAACUGCACCCAAAACUACUAUACUGGAGUCUGGGAGAGGAAAAUGGAAUUAAUUGUGUAAGGGUAAAAUCCGUAUAGAUAACUAAGAAUACCAGAAGCGAAGGCAAUUUUCUGGAACAGUACUGACGCUCAGAUGCGAAAGCGUGUGUAGCAAACAGGAUUAGAUACCCUGGUAGUCCACGCCCUAAACGAUGAAUGUUACUCGUCGGGAGGCUCGUCCUUUCGGUGAUGCAGCUAACGCACUAAACACUCCGCCUGGGGAGUAGCGGUCGCAAGAUUAAAACUCAAAGGAAUAGACGGGGACCCGCACAAGUGGUGGAGCAUGUGGUUUAAUUUGAAGAUACGCGAAGAGCCUUACCUAGCCUUGACACUGAUAGAAUAUGAUGGAAACAUUGGAGAGCCAGUUUACUGGAGCUUGAAAACAGGUGCUGCACGGCUGUCGUCAGCUCGUGUCGUGAGAUGUUGGGUUAAGUCCCGCAACGAGCGCAACCCUCGUCCUUAGUUACUAACGGUUCGGCCGAGGACUCUAAGGAGACUGCCUUCGUAAGGAGGAGGAAGGUGAGGACGACGUCAAGUCAUCAUGGCCCUUACGGCUAGGGCGACACACGUGCUACAAUGGAUAGGACAAUGAGACGCAAUACCGCGAGGUGGAGCAAAUCUAUAAACCUAUUCUCAGUUCGGAUUGUAGUCUGCAACUCGAGUACAUGAAGCUGGAAUCACUAGUAAUCGCAGAUCAGCCAUGCUACGGUGAAUACGUUCCCGGGUCUUGUACUCACCGCCCGUCACACCAUGGGAGUUGAUUUCACCCGAAGCGGGGAAGCUAAACUGGCUACCCUCCACGGUGGAAUCAGCGACUGGGGUGAAGUCGUAACAAGGUAACC
rnacentral:rRNA from 1 species